GCUGACGAGUGGCGGACGGGUGAGUAAUGUCUGGGAAACUGCCUGAUGGAGGGGGAUAACUACUGGAAACGGUGGCUAAUACCGCAUAACGUCGCAAGACCAAAGAGGGGGACCUUCGGGCCUCUUGCCAUCAGAUGUGCCCAGAUGGGAUUAGCUUGUUGGUGAGGUAACGGCUCACCAAGGCGACGAUCCCUAGCUGGUCUGAGAGGAUGACCAGCCACACUGGAACUGAGACACGGUCCAGACUCCUACGGGAGGCAGCAGUGGGGAAUAUUGCACAAUGGGCGCAAGCCUGAUGCAGCCAUGCCGCGUGUAUGAAGAAGGCCUUCGGGUUGUAAAGUACUUUCAGCGGGGAGGAAGGUGUUGUGGUUAAUAACCGCAGCAAUUGACGUUACCCGCAGAAGAAGCACCGGCUAACUCCGUG
rnacentral:rRNA from 1 species